UACGUAGGGUGCGAGCGUUGUCCGGAAUUAUUGGGCGUAAGGAGCUCGUAGGCGGUGUGUCGCGUCGGUCGUGAAAACUUGGGGCUUAACCCUGAGCUUGCGGUCGAUACGGGCAUCACUGGAGUUCGGCAGGGGAGACUGGAAUUCCUGGUGUAGCGGUGAAAUGCGCAGAUAUCAGGAGGAACACCGGUGGCGAAGGCGGGUCUCUGGGCCGAUACUGACGCUGAGGAGCGAAAGCGUGGGGAGCAAACAGG
rnacentral:rRNA from 1 species